UACGAAGGGUGCAAGCGUUACUCGGAAUUACUGGGCGUAAAGCGUGCGUAGGCGGUUUGUUAAGUCCGUUGUGAAAGCCCUGGGCUCAACCUGGGAAUUGCAGUGGAUACUGGCGAGCUAGAGUGCGGUAGAGGAUGGUGGAAUUCCCGGUGUAGCGGUGAAAUGCGUAGAGAUCGGGAGGAACACCCGUGGCGAAGGCGGUUGCCUGGGGCUUUGCUGACGCUGAUGCGCGAAAGCGUGGGGAGCGAUCCGG
rnacentral:rRNA from 1 species